GACGAACGCUGGCGGCGUGCUUAACACAUGCAAGUCGAACGGAAAGGCCCUGCUUUUGUGGGUUGCUCGAGUGGCGAACGGGUGAGUAACACGUGAUUAACCUGCCCUUGACUUUGGGAUAACUUCAGGAAACUGGGGCUAAUACCGGAUAGGAGCUCCUGCUGCAUGGUGGGGGUUGGAAGGUUUCGGCGGUUGGGGAUGGACUCGCGGCUUAUCAGCUUGUUGGUGGGGUAGUGGCUUACCAAGGCUUUGACGGGUAGCCGGCCUGAGAGGGUGACCGGCCACAUUGGGACUGAGAUACGGCCCAGACUCCUACGGGAGGCAGCAGUGGGGAAUAUUGCACAAUGGGCGGAAGCCUGAUGCAGCAACGCCGCGUGCGGGAUGACGGCCUUCGGGUUGUAAACCGCUUUCGCCUGUGACGAAGCGUGAGUGACGGUAAUGGGUAAAGAAGCACCGGCUAACUACGUG
rnacentral:rRNA from 1 species